CUGGAACGCGCCCCAGGCGCACCCAGAAACCCUUUGUGAACUUAUACCUUACUGUUGCCUCGGCGCUAGCUGGUCCUCCGGGGCCCCUCACCCUCGGGUGUUGAGACAGCCCGCCGGCGGCCAACCCAACUCUUGUUUUUACACUGAAACUCUGAGAAUAAAACAUAAAUGAAUCAAAACUUUCAACAACGGAUCUCUUGGUUCUGGCAUCGAUGAAGAACGCAGCGAAAUGCGAUAAGUAAUGUGAAUUGCAGAAUUCAGUGAAUCAUCGAAUCUUUGAACGCACAUUGCGCCCUCUGGUAUUCCGGAGGGCAUGCCUGUUCGAGCGUCAUUUCAACCCUCAAGCCUGGCUUGGUGAUGGGGCACUGCUUCUUACCCAAGAAGCAGGCCCUGAAAUUCAGUGGCGAGCUCGCCAGGACCCCGAGCGCAGUAGUUAAACCCUCGCUCUGGAAGGCCCUGGCGGUGCCCUGCCGUUAAACCCCCAACUUCUGAAAAU
rnacentral:rRNA from 1 species